UAACACGGAGGGUGCGAGCGUUGUCCGGAUUUACUGGGCGUAAAGCGCGCGUAGGCGGUUUUGUAAGUCAUCUGUGAAAUCCCGGGGCUCAACUCCGGGGCUGCAGGUGAUACUGUAGAACUAGAGCUCGGUAGAGGCAAGCGGAAUUCCCGGUGUAGCGGUGGAAUGCGUAGAUAUCGGGAAGAACACCAGUGGCGAAGGCGGCUUGCUGGGCCGAAGCUGACGCUGAGGCGCGAAAGCGUGGGGAGCAAACAGGAUUAGAUACCCUGGUAGUCCACGCCGUAAACGAUGGGUACUAGGUGUCGGGGGGAGCGACCCCUUCGGUGCCGUCGCUAACGCACUAAGUACCCCGCCUGGGGAGUACGGCCGCAAGGCUG
rnacentral:rRNA from 1 species